UCGUAGAUUCUCUUAGGAGUAAGGAGAUGGAAAUGAGGGCUGAAAAACAGGAUAGGAGGAGUGGAGAGUUGCAUAUGAUGCGGGGUAGAACUCAAUUUAGGCAAGCCAGUCAUGAUGGAUACCAAAGUAGUGGCGAAUCAAGUAGUAAUAGUUGGAAAAAGAAGGGGAAUGGUAGACCUAGAUCAAAGUCUAGAACUAAGGCUAGAAAAUGCUAUGGCUGUGGAGGCACAGGGCAUUUUAUAAAAGACUGUCAUAAAGAAAAGGGAAAACAAAAGGUUAAGGAAAG
rnacentral:lncRNA from 1 species